AUUGAACGCUGGCGGCAGGCCUAACACAUGCAAGUCGAACGGUAACAGGAAACAGCUUGCUGUUUCGCUGACGAGUGGCGGACGGGUGAGUAAUGUCUGGGAAACUGCCUGAUGGAGGGGGAUAACUACUGGAAACGGUAGCUAAUACCGCAUAACGUCGCAAGACCAAAGAGGGGGACCUUCGGGCCUCUUGCCAUCGGAUGUGCCCAGAUGGGAUUAGCUUGUUGGUGGGGUAACGGCUCACCAAGGCGACGCUCCCUAGCUGGUCUGUGAGGAUGACCAGCCACACUGGAACUGAAACACGGUCCAGACUCCUACGGGAGGCAGCAGUGGGGAAUAUUGCACAAUGGGCGCAAGCCUGAUGCAGCCAUGCCGCGUGUAUGAAGAAGGCCUUCGGGUUGUAAAGUACUUUCAGCGGGGAGGAAGGGAGUAAAGUUAAUACCUUUACUCAUUGACGUUACCCGCAGAAGAAGCACCGGCUAACUCCGUGCCAGCAGCCGCAGUAA
rnacentral:rRNA from 1 species